CCCUAUGGGGUGCAGCAGGCUUAAAAUGAUAUUUUCCACGUCCUCGCCCACAUAUCCCGCUUCAGUCAGGGUGGUGGCGUCCGCUAUCGUGAAAGGCACAUUCAGAAACUUGGCCAGCGUUUUGGCAAGCAGGGUUUUCCCGGAUCCCGUCGGUCCUACCAGAAGGACGUUGCUUUUCUGGAUCUCAACACCGUCAUUCGAACUGACAUUGGAAAACAGUCUUUUAUAGUGAUUAUAAACCGCAACGGAAAGAAUUUUUUUUGUCUGUUCCUGGCCGAUGACAUAGGUGUCAAGAAAUUUCUUGAUUUCUUUCGGUUCAGGCAGAAUAUUCUUCGGGGGUUUCUCUACUGUCUUUUCUUCUUCCUCUACAAUGCAACGGCACAAUUCGAUGCAUUCGUCACAAAUAUAAGCGGGGGGGC
rnacentral:rRNA from 1 species